UACGAAGGGGGGCUAGCGUUGCUCGGAAUCACUGGGCGUAAAGCGCACGUAGGCGGCUUGUUAAGUCAGGGGUGAAAUCCUGGAGCUCAACUCCAGAACUGCCUUUGAUACUGGCGAGCUUGAGUCCGGGAGAGGUGAGUGGAACUGCGAGUGUAGAGGUGAAAUUCGUAGAUAUUCGCAAAAACACCAGUGGCGAAGGCGGCUCACUGGCCCGGUACUGACGCUGAGGUGCGAAAGCGUGGGGAGCAAACAGG
rnacentral:rRNA from 1 species